UACGUAGGGUGCAAGCGUUGUCCGGAAUUAUUGGGCGUAAAGAGCUCGUAGGCGGUUUGUUGCGUCGGCUGUGAAAUCCCGAGGCUCAACCUCGGGUCUGCAGUCGAUACGAGCAAACUAGAGUGUUGCAGGGGAGACUGGAAUUCCUGGUGUAGCGGUGAAAUGCGCAGAUAUCAGGAGGAACACCGGUGGCGAAGGCGGGUCUCUGGGCAACAACUAACGCUGAGGAGCGAAAGCGUGGGGAGCGAACAGG
rnacentral:rRNA from 1 species